AAACUUGAUAGGAUUUCUAUAGGCAUUGAUUUUGAGGAUUUUGGAUAGAUAAUGACUUUGUAAAAGUUUUGCAAAGUUGAGGUUAUUUUUAGUGACUCUGGUUUUUGAAAAAUAAAAUAGGAUUGACAUUUUGGGCAAUUUCAAGAGUUUGGUAAUAGAUAUACAAGUGAACUUUUUUUGAGUUUGUGGAUAUAGUUGUGUUAGAUGUGUAUUGUCAAUUUGGAUUUGAUUAAAUGGUUAGAUUGAAAAGUAUGAAGGUUUUUGUGGGUUAUGGUCUUAGAAU
rnacentral:lncRNA from 1 species